GUGGAUUAGAUACCCGGGUAGUCCACGCCCUAAACGUUGAAUACUCGACCUUAGCGAUAUACAGUUAGGGUCCAAGCGAAAGCGUUAAGUAUUCCACCUGGGAAGUACGUUCGCAAGAAUGAAACUCAAAGGAAUUGACGGGGGCCCGCACAAGCGGAGGAGCAUGUGGUUUAAUUCGAUGAUACGCGAGGAACCUUACCUGGGCUUGAAUGUGAGUGACCGGUGCCGAAAGGUACUUUCCCUUCGGGGCACAAAACAAGGUGCUGCAUGGCCGUCGCCAACU
rnacentral:rRNA from 1 species